rnacentral:tRNA from 1 species
GGGCAAUUAGCUCAGCUGGUUCAGAGCACCUCGUUUACACCGGAGGGGGUCGGGGGUUCGAACCCUCAUUGCCCACCA